rnacentral:rRNA from 1 species
GUGAGUCAUCGAAUCUUUGAACGCAUCUUGCACCUUUUGGUAUUCCAAAAGGUACACCUGUUUGAGUGUCAUGAAACCCUCUCAUUAAACAUUUUAUUUUUGAUUUGUUUAGUGGAUGUUGAGUGUUGCUGUACCUAUAGCUCACUUUAAAUAUAUAAGUCACUUUUCAAAUAAGUUGGAUUGACUUGGUGUAAUAAUUUUAUCAUCACAUCAAGGAAAGUAGUAAAACACUUGCCAUCUUGUUUGUUAAUAAGAGACUCCUAAAACCCAAUAUCUUAUUUUUAAGACCUCAAAUCAGGUGGGACUACCCGCUGAACUUAA